rnacentral:misc_RNA from 1 species
UCUCCGUUGGUGAACCAGCGGAGGGAUCAUUACCGAAGUUACCCUUCAAAACCCAUUGUGAACCAUACCUCUUGCCGCGUUGUCUCGGCGGGAGGCGCUGGGGCCUCGGCUCCGCGUCCCCGCCGGCAGCGCCAAACUCUAAACUGCAAAGCGUACUGCAUGUUCUGAUUUACAAAAGAAACAAGUUAAAACUUUCAACAACGGAUCUCUUGGUUCUG